UUAAACUCGAAACGAAAGAGAUGAUGGGUUGCUCUAUUUUAAGGAUCCUUGUGGAUGAUUACCGCCCAAAUCAGAGCCCUAAUUGGAUUCUUCGUACACCUCAAUAUCUACAUUACAACUCAAUAAGGACAAACCGAAUUCCUAUUAAGAUCUUCUUAUCUUCAUAGUUAGAUUCUUGAAAAUAUUUAAAGUGCCAAAUGAAAUCCACGGAUUGGAUUCCUGGCAUGCUUUAAAUACCCGUGUCCAAAGAUAACAAAUUAAAGGUCAAAUUAAUCAAUUAUGUGAUUAUGUGAUUAUGUGUUUCUUUUAUGUCUUUGUGUAAUUUGAGUUUUUCGAUAUCCAUAUCCUCGUAGAAUCUUCCAUAUCUCCAUAUGAGGGAUUCAUAGUAGGAUAUCCAAAGGUACUACCUUAAAUCCUUAAUGGGCUUCUACAUGGUAGUUAAGACCCUUGGAUCAUAUAGUACCAUUCCAUAAUUCGAAAAAGACCCCAUGAGUGGUCUAGUAAAAAGAUUAAUUCAAAUCUGGUUAGAAAUGACAUGUGAUGGUAUAGCUGGAAAGACUCCUUGGUGGUCUGUUUUAAAAGAUCAUUUAUUGAUCUAAAGGACUCUAUGGUGGUCUAGUCACACUCAUCACAUGUUCGUUCAUUUGGUUUUCCCUACACAUUAUCAAAUACACUAUGUGGACUAUGCAAGGAAUUACGUAACUAUGGACGCGUACAUAAUUAUGAAAUUCAGUGCACGGAAACCACAGUAAGAUUUAUCAUGUGUAAGAACCGAUAGUGGCAACAAUAGCAGAACGUGAACAAUGUAAUGGAGGUACGGUGGACGCACCAAUGGCGCUUCAUAUACUUGUAUAUAAGUGUCCCUCUUACAUUGCAAGCAUAAUGUUAUUAAAGUUACUAGAAGUUCAGAACCCUAACCAGUGUUGUCUUAUCUUUUCGACUUCAUGUUUCGAGCUCUCACAAGUUUCCUCUGAUUAAAAUUUCGGGACGAAAUUUCCUAAAGUAGGGGAGACUGUGACAUCUGUGCCUCCACGGCCAUAAAAAAAAUACCAAAUUAAUGAAAUAUUGUAUUUCAUACUUGGGAUUUGUAUAAAUAUGUGUAUCAUUUGCACAUAUCCAUUCUCGUUCGAUUUCGAGCUCUAACUCGCUUUCUGGAAAGUUAUACGCGAACUGAUGCGUAAACAUAAUAAGUUUAACGCGACAAACACUCCGAAAAAAGUUACAUAGGCUUAACAUACCUUAAAUAACCUUUACAUAACUUAGAAAUAAGUUUUGGAAGGUUUGGUGUGUCGAAAUCAAGUUUAUUCGCUUACAGGGACUAAUUUCGACAAACUGCGAAAGUAUGCCGAUUCGUACUGUAACGAACAUUCCGAAACUUUAUCAUAAGUUAAACAUGCCCUAAAUAUCCUAAACAUAGCUUAGAAAUAAGCUUUGAGUGGUUCGGUGUGCAAAAAUAUGCUUAUUUGAUCUUACAGGGACUAAAAGUGUCAAAAACGACGUAAGUUUGCAUUUUCGCACAUAUCUUACGUUCUGACCACAUCUGGCAUCCAAAAUUUUUGUACACACUAAAAUAUUUUUAUUUUAGUGAUCGGAAUGCAAAAAUACUGUUCGUCGCUUAAUUUGGUUCGUUUUCGCGUCCGUUUAAGUUUCGUCGUAAUUUAAGGAACAACGCGACCGUACGACCAAAGGAGCCGACAUCCGAGAGUGUUCCAAGCAUAUUUUGAGUCCUCUAAACCUUAUUGACCUUUUAGAGCCUUGAAAAUGGCUUAACGGGGGUCAAAAGGGCCUGAAAUGAGCUUAAAACACAUGCAGGGACCUAAACUGCCAUUUUUGCAAAUUUGUGCUGAACUGGGGAGGUCAGGCGGGCCACGUAAGCCCCCUCCCAUAUCUUGCGGGGGCCGUGUCAGUGUGCCCAGUUCCAGAAACUCAGUUUCAGCAAUCUGUUGCAACUUCAGGGGCUGUAUAUGUAAUUUCUUGGUGUGGUGAGCAAGUUACCACCUCCCCAAGGCUUCUAACCUGCAUCAAACAAGUGUAUGGCCAUGAUUUAAUGCUUGGAGGUUACACAAACAUGUGUAAUGAUCCUGUGAACUUCCUACAAGUAUAAAUAGCCAUGCUUUCUUCCAUUUUCUUUGCUCAUUUCCUUCUCUUCUCUUCUCCAUCUGAUUUGGAAGGCUCCCUCAAGUGUUUGGAGCUUUCUAGUCUCAUUGGGAACUUGGUUUUUUUGUAGAAAAGAUAGCAAGGACCCAUUGUGAGUAUUCUUUCAUUCUUUUUAUUGUUUUCCUAGUUUGGAAGUCAAAUAUAGUUUGACUUUCAGCUUUGACCACGAGUUGGUCAACGAGAAGUUCGUUUGAACUUCGCAACGUGAGCGUAAUCACGUUGGUUAUAGUCCUUAGUGACUAUACCCACUGAUUACCACGUUAUCUAGGUGUAGUGACGAGUCUAAGUUUCGGUCAAAAUGCGUUUUAGAACGCAUUUUGCAACGGAACUAUUAUUAAGUAUCAAAACGGCUCGUUUUAAUACCAAAUCAGUAGGUUAAACAUGUUUUGACAUGUUUAGCUCGUCGCUUUUAGUUAGUGCUUGUUUAGAGUCGUAAGUUGAGCGGUCUAAACCACCGCUUAGACUUUCGAACUUGACCCGUUUGGUCGAUCAUUAGGAUCUGACCAAGCAUGAUUAGUGACCAUAGUUGCACAGGGAAUAACCUUCCGAGGUUAUACCUUAUGGUCACCAAGUUUAAGUAGUUGUAUGAUAGGUGGAUUAUAUGCCUUAGGUAAAUUACCAAAAUGCCCUUUUCAUGCAUAAUUGGACUUUAAACAUAUGUAACCUAACUUUUGUCACCUAAACUGAUUAUGCAACAUAUUUAAUCAUGUUUAGGCAUAUAAUACUUGUCAUAGGACUAGUUAGACGUCUCGAACGCGUUUUACGCAAAUGACGCGUUAAAGUAGCGUAAGCUAACUAAACGGGUUGUAACGGGUCAAAAGCACUUAGGUUAGGUUUCAAUUUAGAAUGCAGGCUUUGUUAAACCAUGUCAUAUGAGUUCCAAUAACUCGUUUGGUUUACAAGACCUCAUCCUAUCCGAUCUUCCGACUUAGGUCCGGUUUAUUUAUAUAGUUAGGUUGCCGAUUGAUUCCGUGCUCCCUCUAGCUUUGCUUGGUUGUUGUUCAAAGACCACUAAGCAUUCUCAGGUGAGUACGUAGUUCCCCUCUUUUACUAUUUUCAAUUGUUUCGGGGUAUUCAUAUGUGCUAAAUGUUUUCGAGGUUUUAACGAUGGUUUCAAAAAUAAAUAAUAUGGUUUAUACAAAAUUUAUAACGAUUUGAUAAAGUAAACAAACUUGUUGGUUGUAUUUACAUAACGAAUAAUAUCCAUUAAUUUUGGCCGAACCGACCAGUAUUAGGUUAGGGUACCAUAGGAUCUGACAAAUCCUGUUAUCAGACUGCACCCAUGGUUAUGUGUGGGUUAGGUGGGUAACGACCGAAUCUGAUGAUUGUUAACUUACCCUUUGGUGGUUAGUUAAUGCGAGAUUGGCGAUAGGCGAGUCACGAAGGUUUGGAUAUUAUUAGCGAGACAGCCAAAAGUAGUUUUCACAAUUAAAACGAGAAUGACUUAAACGACUGAAACGAUUUUGACGAAUUAAACGAAUUGGAUAAACGAUUGGUUUUUGGUUUGUUUAGAUAACGAGACGGGUGUGAUGUGAUGAAAGCAUGGUGGAUACGCCGCUGGUAUUGUUGAUUGAUGUUGAUUACUUGGAUGCAUACUCACAUAGGACUGGACGAGGCCUUAGUGACAUAAUAACAAUAAUAGACUAUGUUUAACUUGUUUGUUAGAUCUCAAGACGAUGUAAAUGUGUAAUGUUUAAUAAAACAAAACUUCA
rnacentral:lncRNA from 1 species